rnacentral:rRNA from 1 species
GAUGAACGCUGGCGGCGUGCCUAAUACAUGCAAGUCGAGCGAACAGAUGAGGAGCUUGCUCCUCUGACGUUAGCGGCGGACGGGUGAGUAACACGUGGAUAACCUACCUAUAAGACUGGGAUAACUUCGGGAAACCGGAGCUAAUACCGGAUAAUAUAUUGAACCGCAUGGUUCAAUAGUGAAAGACGGCUUUGCUGUCACUUAUAGAUGGAUCCGCGCCGCAUUAGCUAGUUGGUAAGGUAACGGCUUACCAAGGCAACGAUGCGUAGCCGACCUGAGAGGGUGAUCGGCCACACUGGAACUGAGACACGGUCCAGACUCCUACGGGAGGCAGCAGUAGGGAAUCUUCCGCAAUGGGCGAAAGCCUGACGGAGCAACGCCGCGUGAGUGAUGAAGGUCUUCGGAUCGUAAAACUCUGUUAUUAGGGAAGAACAAAUGUGUAAGUAACUAUGCACGUCUUGACGGUACCCAAUCAGAAAGCCACGGCUAACUACGUG